ensembl:snRNA U5 U5 spliceosomal RNA
AUACUCUGGUUUCUCUUCAGAUCGUAUAAAUCUUUCGCCUUUUACUAAAGAUUUCCGUGGAGAGGAACAUUUAUGAGUUUGUAACCAAUUUUUUGAGGCCCUGCUUUAGUAGGGCU